UUAAGCGACUAAGCGUACACGGUGGAUGCCCUGGCAGUCAGAGGCGAUGAAGGACGUGCUAAUCUGCGAUAAGCGUCGGUGAGGUGAUAUGAACCGUUAUAACCGGCGAUUUCCGAAUGGGGAAACCCAGUGUGUUUCGACACACUAUCAUUAACUGAAUCCAUAGGUUAAUGAGGCGAACCGGGGGAACUGAAACAUCUAAGUACCCCGAGGAAAAGAAAUCAACCGAGAUUCCCCCAGUAGCGGCGAGCGAACGGGGAGGAGCCCAGAGCCUGAAUCAGUGUGUGUGUUAGUGGAAGCGUCUGGAAAGGCGCGCGAUACAGGGUGACAGCCCCGUACACAAAAAUGCACAUACUGUGAGCUCGAUGAGUAGGGCGGGACACGUGGUAUCCUGUCUGAAUAUGGGGGGACCAUCCUCCAAGGCUAAAUACUCCUGACUGACCGAUAGUGAACCAGUACCGUGAGGGAAAGGCGAAAAGAACCCCGGCGAGGGGAGUGAAAAAGAACCUGAAACCGUGUACGUACAAGCAGUGGGAGCCUCUUAAUGGGGUGACUGCGUACCUUUUGUAUAAUGGGUCAGCGACUUAUAUUCUGUAGCAAGGUUAACCGAAUAGGGGAGCCGAAGGGAAACCGAGUCUUAACUGGGCGUUAAGUUGCAGGGUAUAGACCCGAAACCCGGUGAUCUAGCCAUGGGCAGGUUGAAGGUUGGGUAACACUAACUGGAGGACCGAACCGACUAAUGUUGAAAAAUUAGCGGAUGACUUGUGGCUGGGGGUGAAAGGCCAAUCAAACCGGGAGAUAGCUGGUUCUCCCCGAAAGCUAUUUAGGUAGCGCCUCGUGAAUUCAUCUCCGGGGGUAGAGCACUGUUUCGGCAAGGGGGUCAUCCCGACUUACCAACCCGAUGCAAACUGCGAAUACCGGAGAAUGUUAUCACGGGAGACACACGGCGGGUGCUAACGUCCGUCGUGAAGAGGGAAACAACCCAGACCGCCAGCUAAGGUCCCAAAGUCAUGGUUAAGUGGGAAACGAUGUGGGAAGGCCCAGACAGCCAGGAUGUUGGCUUAGAAGCAGCCAUCAUUUAAAGAAAGCGUAAUAGCUCACUGGUCGAGUCGGCCUGCGCGGAAGAUGUAACGGGGCUAAACCAUGCACCGAAGCUGCGGCAGCGACACUAUGUGUUGUUGGGUAGGGGAGCGUUCUGUAAGCCUGUGAAGGUGUACUGUGAGGUAUGCUGGAGGUAUCAGAAGUGCGAAUGCUGACAUAAGUAACGAUAAAGCGGGUGAAAAGCCCGCUCGCCGGAAGACCAAGGGUUCCUGUCCAACGUUAAUCGGGGCAGGGUGAGUCGACCCCUAAGGCGAGGCCGAAAGGCGUAGUCGAUGGGAAACAGGUUAAUAUUCCUGUACUUGGUGUUACUGCGAAGGGGGGACGGAGAAGGCUAUGUUGGCCGGGCGACGGUUGUCCCGGUUUAAGCGUGUAGGCUGGUUUUCCAGGCAAAUCCGGAAAAUCAAGGCUGAGGCGUGAUGACGAGGCACUACGGUGCUGAAGCGACAAAUGCCCUGCUUCCAGGAAAAGCCUCUAAGCAUCAGGUAACAUCAAAUCGUACCCCAAACCGACACAGGUGGUCAGGUAGAGAAUACCAAGGCGCUUGAGAGAACUCGGGUGAAGGAACUAGGCAAAAUGGUGCCGUAACUUCGGGAGAAGGCACGCUGAUAUGUAGGUGAAGCGACUUGCUCGUGGAGCUGAAAUCAGUCGAAGAUACCAGCUGGCUGCAACUGUUUAUUAAAAACACAGCACUGUGCAAACACGAAAGUGGACGUAUACGGUGUGACGCCUGCCCGGUGCCGGAAGGUUAAUUGAUGGGGUUAGCGGUAACGCGAAGCUCUUGAUCGAAGCCCCGGUAAACGGCGGCCGUAACUAUAACGGUCCUAAGGUAGCGAAAUUCCUUGUCGGGU
rnacentral:rRNA from 2 species